rnacentral:rRNA from 1 species
UACGUAGGGUGCAAGCGUUAAUCGGAAUUACUGGGCGUAAAGCGUGCGCAGGCGGCUUUGCAAGACAGAUGUGAAAUCCCCGGGCUCAACCUGGGAACUGCAUUUGUGACUGCAUGGCUAGAGUGCGGCAGAGGGGGAUGGAAUUCCGCGUGUAGCAGUGAAAUGCGUAGAUAUGCGGAGGAACACCGAUGGCGAAGGCAAUCCCCCUGGGCCUGCACUGACGCUCAUGCACGAAAGCGUGGGGAGCAAACAGG